rnacentral:rRNA from 1 species
AUUGAACGCUGGCGGCAGGCCUAACACAUGCAAGUCGAACGAGUGGCGGACGGGUGAGUAAUGUCUGGGAAACUGCCCGAUGGAGGGGGAUAACUACUGGAAACGGUAGCUAAUACCGCAUACCAUCGGAUGUGCCCAGAGGGGAUUAGCUAGUAGGUGGGGUAACGGCUCACCUAGGCGACGAUCCCUAGCUGGUAUGAGAGGAUGAACAGCCACACAUGAACUGAGACACGGUCCAGACUCCAACGGUAGGAAGCAGUGGGGAAUAUUGCACAAUGGGCGCAAGCCUGAUGCAGCCAUGCCGCGUGUAUGAAGAAGGCCGUCGGGUUGGUAAGGACUUUCAGCUGGGAGGCGUUACCCGCAGAAGAAGCACCGGCUAACUCCGUGCCAGCAGCCGCGGUAAUAC